CCCGCUCAGAAACUUAAAGGAAUUAGACGGGGCCCGGCGACAAGCGGUGGAGCAUGCGGUUUAAUUCGAAGCAACGCGAAGAACCUUACCAGGCCUUGACAUGCAGAGAACUUUCCAGAGACGGAUUGGUGCCUUCGGGAACUCUGACACAGGUGCUGCAUGGCUGUCGUCAGCCCGUGUCGUGAGAUGUUGGGUUAAGUCCCGUAACGAGCGCAACCCUUGUCCUUAGUUACCAGCACGUUAUGGUGGACACUCUAAGGAGACUGCCGGUGACAAACCGGAGGAAGGUGGGGAUGACGUCAAGUCAUCAUGGCCCUUACGGCCUGGGCUGCACACGUGCUACAAUGGUCGGUACAAAGGGUUGCCAAGCCGCGAGGUGGAGCUAAUCCCAUAAAACCGAUCGUAGUCCGGAUCGCAGUCUGCAACUCGACUGCGUGAAGUCGGAAUCGCUAGUAAUCGUGAAUCAGAAUGUCACGGUGAAUACGUUCCCAGGCCUU
rnacentral:rRNA from 1 species